rnacentral:lncRNA from 1 species
CUUACACUGUGUGUGAUAGGGUGUGUGGCCAUAGCCGGUGCAUAAGGAAACAAUGCAAAACGAAACUGGCUAACGGUAUUGGUGAACUCCCUCAACAAAAACUCUGUCGAAACCUGACAGU